CAACCAUCCCCCGUCUCCCAUCUCCAAGAUGGCGGAGGCAGCUUCAACCUCAGCUCUCGCGAGGAGUUCGUCCUGCGCUUUCCGAUUAGCUUUGAGGAGCACCUAAGCUAUCCUACUCCAGUGUGUUCUAAAAGAUUCCCGAUGACCCCAGGUUCGCUCCAGCUCCACCCCUUGUAUUCUGGAAACCAGAUGUGAAACCUGAUUAUAAAGUUCAAGUUUUCGUUCACUUUCAACUGAUAACAAAGACUUAGAAUGGAAAAGCAGAACUGCUCCAAAUGUAUAAAACUUAGUACUAAAAGAAAC